rnacentral:rRNA from 1 species
UACGAAGGGGGCUAGCGUUGUUCGGAAUUACUGGGCGUAAAGAGCGCGCAGGCGGUCGUACAAGUCGCGUGUGAAAGCCCCCGGCUCAACUGGGGAGGGUCACGCGAUACUGUUCGACUCGAAGGCAGGAGAGGGAAGCGGAAUUCCCGGUGUAGUGGUGAAAUGCGUAGAUAUCGGGAGGAACACCAGUGGCGAAGGCGGCUUCCUGGCCUGUUCUUGACGCUGAGGCGCGAAGGCUAGGGUAGCAAACGGG